GCCGAGAUGUUGGAAUUGGUAGACAAUGGAGACUUAAAAUCUCCUGGAGCUUAGCUCCGUGUGGGUUCGAAUCCCACUCUCGGCACCA
rnacentral:tRNA from 1 species